AUUGAACGCUGGCGGCAUGCCUUACACAUGCAAGUCGAACGGUAACAGGUCUUCGGAUGCUGACGAGUGGCGAACGGGUGAGUAAUACAUCGGAACGUGCCUAGUAGUGGGGGAUAACUACUCGAAAGAGUGGCUAAUACCGCAUGAGAUCUACGGAUGAAAGCCGGGGAUCGCAAGACCUUGUGCUACUAGAGCGGCCGAUGGCAGAUUAGGUAGGUGGUGGGAUAAAGGCUUACCAGGCCGACGAUCUGUAGAUGGUCUUAGGGGACGAUCAGCCACACUGGGACUGAGACACGGCCCAGACUCCUACGGGAGGCAGCAGUGGGGAAUUUUGGACAAUGGGCGCAAGCAUGAUCCAGCAAUGCCGCGUGCAGGAUGAAGGCCUUCGGGUUGUAAACUGCUUUUGUACGGAACGAAAAGCCCUGGGUUAAUACCCUGGGGUCAUGACGGUACCGUAAGAAUAAGCACCGGCUAACUACGUGCCAGCCGCCGCAGUAAUAC
rnacentral:rRNA from 1 species